UACGGGGGGGGCAAGCGUUGUUCGGAAUUACUGGGCGUAAAGGGCUCGUAGGCGGCCAACUAAGUCAGACGUGAAAUCCCUCGGCUUAACCGGGGAACUGCGUCUGAUACUGGAUGGCUCGAGUUUGGGAGAGGGAUGCGGAAUUCCAGGUGUAGCGGUGAAAUGCGUAGAUAUCUGGAGGAACACCGGUGGCGAAGGCGGCGUUCUGGACUGCAACUGACACUGAGGAACGAAAGCCAGGGGAGCAAACGGG
rnacentral:rRNA from 1 species